UUUGGGAUUUCUMAGUUUUGAAAGAAAACCCAUUAUAGUUACAGCUCGUAAUGGCGAAGUCAAAGAAUCACACCAAUCAUAAUCAAGGUCAUAAAGCUCAUCGAAAUGGCAUCAAAAAGCCGCGAACACAAAGAUAUUCGUCCUUGAAGGGGGUUGAACCAAAGUUUUUGAGAAAUCUUCGAUUUGCCAAGAAACAUAACAAGAAGUCGGCAUCCAAGACUGCAUAAAUGUUUAUAUGUACAGACAACUGUUAAGGGGAAUGUUCGCUGACAUCUUGAAUAAAGUUCCUUUUCAAUUGUAAACCUU